GGAGAGGUGCCAGAGUGGUUGAUCGGGGCGGUCUCGAAAACCGUUACGCGGGGUAACCCGUGUCCAGGGUUCGAACCCCUGCCUCUCCGCCA
rnacentral:tRNA from 1 species